AGUGAAGCGGGAUGAGCUCAAAUUUAAAAUCUGGCUGGUUUACUAGUCCGAAUUGUAGUUUAAAGAAGCGUUUUCGGUGGCAGCCUGGGUAUAAAUCCUUUGGAACAGGGUAUCAUAGAGGGUGAGAAUCCCGUCUUUGACUCAGUGCAUGCUACUAUGUGAUACGUUUUCAAAGAGUCGAGUUGUUUGGGAAUGCAGCUCAAAAUGGGUGGUAAAUUUCAUCUAAAGCUAAAUAUUGGCGAGAGACCGAUAGCGAACAAGUACCGUGAGGGAAAGAUGAAAAGAACUUUGAAAAGAGAGUUAAACAGUGCGUGAAAUUGUUGAAAGGGAAACGCUUGACACCAGUCAUGCGAGCGGAAAAUCAGUCUUUUGCAGUGGGGAGUGUGUGUGGGUUCGGACCGCAAGGCCGGCCUGCGCUUCAUCUCUGCUGUAAGUGAUGCACUUUUUCGUUUGCAGGCCAACAUCAGUUUCUUCUGCUGGACAAAACUCUUGAGAAGGUAGCAGCUUAGGCUGUGUUAUAGCUCUUGAGCGAUACAGUGGAGGAGACUGAGGUUUUCGCAGCGCGUGCUUUCGGGCAAGGCUGAUUGGGUGCUAUGGGAUCGUUCGGUGUACAAUGCAUGCAUUUUGCGCCGUGUCUUUUCUAUACUCGCUCAACUCGGCUCUUCCGCGCUUAGGAUGUUGGCUUAAUGGUUUUAAUCGACCCGUCUUG
rnacentral:rRNA from 1 species